UUCUCGCGCCUUACCAUAUAUAUCCUCUUCUUCCCAAUCCCAAACUUCAACCAACCAACAAUGAAGAAGAUAGUGUUCUUGUUUCUUUCCCUUCUCUUUUGUUCCACCUUCCAUGUCUCCCUCUCCCUCAUUGAUGGUAAGUUAUAUCUCUAUAUUAUUUACUACAUUACUUAUUUUUCACCAUUUAAAUUCAUUUGCUAAUGUUGAAAAAUGCUUGUUAAUUAAUGUACAUAUACAUACAUGUGUUAAUUUGUAGGCA
rnacentral:lncRNA from 1 species